GACGAACGCUGGCGGCGUGCUUAACACAUGCAAGUCGAACGGAAAGGCCCUGCUUUUGUGGGGUGCUCGAGUGGCGAACGGGUGCGUAACACGUGAGUAACCUGCCCUUGACUUUGGGAUAACUUCAGGAAACUGGGGCUACUACCGGAUAGGAGCUCCUGCUGCAUGGUGGGGGUUGGAAAGUUUCGGCGGUCGGGGAUGGACUCGCGGCUUAUCAGCUUGUUGGUGGGGUAGUGGCUUACCAAGGCUUUGACGGGUAGCCGGCCUGAGAGGGUGACCGGCCACAAUGGGCCUGAGAUACGGACCAGACUCCUACGGGAGGCAGCAGUGGGGAAUAUUGCACAAUGGGCGGGAGCCUGAUGCAGCAGCGCCGCGUGCGGGAUGACGGCCUUCGGGUUGUAAACCGCUUUCGCCUGUGACGAAGCGUGAGUGACGGUAAUGGGUAAAGAAGCACCGGCUAACUACGUG
rnacentral:rRNA from 1 species